CAGUGACUUCUUUUAAUCUUAUUACAAAAAUUUCCUUUGCAGGACCAUGAAAAAUGUAUUUUACAUCUGAUAGGGCAUUUAAUGAAUCAUUGGUUUACUCAGAGUCUCAAUAACUGUGUCUUGCUGAAAACUUCAUAGACAGACCCUUUGGGAAGGGAAUGGGACAGAGCAGAGCUGCAGCCUUUAAAGGCUGAGGCUGGAAUCACCAUUGCACCACGCCUGGCUGAAGGAGGGCAGAUGCCUGCAGUGCAGCAAGGUAGCAAAUGCCAUCCUCAUCCUGAAGCAAUUUUCAUCUGCUGUGCUCUGGUAAAUCACAGGAGGAGAACAACUGAUAAAGGUCACAACCUACAAUUCCCAUCUUUGGUUGAAGAAAGUCUCUGGUCUUCAGCCAGUCUCCUACGGUGCUUGGUCUUGAAAAUGCACAGCAAGUUGGAAGUCUUACAUAGUGAUUUCUUGAAACCUUUUCAAUAUGACAUUCUAAUUCCUUAAAGUCAAGAGCAUCACCCCAGGUGUUUCCAGGAGGCCACUGGGCAAGCAGCAGCUCCAGCCUGCAGUGGGACAGACCUGCACGGUGCUGGCAGUGACAGCACAGCCACCUGGGCAAGAAGAGAGCUCAGAAAGCAAGAAAAUAAAAAAGGAUGAAUCUGGAGGGAGAGGGGUGCUGGGAAGCAAAACAGGGGUGGUGGGGUUCUGGGAAAGAGCUGUUUCCCCCAAGCUAUGUGGAUGUGAGGCAAUAAAGCAACCUGGUAAACACUGCACCAGUGGCUCUGGGGACUUUGGCCCAGGACAGACCCUUCCAUCAGCCUCACCAGGAACCCUGGCAUAUGAAAUUAGCAGAACAGGUAGCAGGGUGGCGGUGGGACCUGUUUUGUCAGCGUCCCUUCCCUCCCAGCAGCCAAGCAGACAGGCGCGUCAGGUAAAUAUUUACUACAAUCGUGGAGUUUCCCUUGUCUUUGGCAAGGAACACCAGUGUCAAAGUAUCAACCUAUGUGAAAGUUUCUCAAGAACUUUAAAAAGGGCAAGUUGCCACUUUCCAUCCUCACGGUGCUGGUCCCUGAUGCCAUGGAUGAGCAUGGCCGAGGAGCACUUCCUGCUCUCCUGUGCUUGGGAUGGCUCCUGUGGCACCCAGUGACCAGCACCUGUGGGCCCUGAACCACACAAGACAACACACUCACCCGGCUGCACCGAGACACUGCGUACACACCACGCGAUGUGCUGAUAAGGGAAAUAGUGUGGAGAAGAGCCUAAGGAGAUAGAAGAACAUUAUUUUAAAUUAUCUUGAACAUAAAAAACAAAGUGAGGAUUUGGCAACCUUGCAGCAAAAACCUCAAAACCAGUUAUUCCUUUUAAAUAAAAACAAAAAUGAGAAACA
rnacentral:lncRNA from 1 species